rnacentral:rRNA from 1 species
GAGAAUCUCUUCCGCCGAAUGUCCAAGGGUUCCUGGGGAAGGUUCGUCCGCCCAGGGUUAGUCGGGACCUAAGGCGAGGUCGAGAGACGUAGUCGAUGGAUAACAGAUUGAUAUUUCUGUACCACUAAUAACGCGCCCAAAUCGAAUAUAUGUUGCUAAGGAAAGCCUUCGGGCCUACCGACCCACAUAUUACUAGAUUAGCGAUGGAGCAACGGAGAAGGAUAGAUGAACCCAGGCGAUGGUUGUCCUGGGGUAAGUGUGUAGGGUAGUUAAUAGGCAAAUCCGUUAACUGUAAACCUGAGACACGAGUCCGAGCCGCUUUUUAGGCGAAGUCAUUAAUUCCAUACUUCCAAGAAAAACUUCUAGUUAGUUUUAUUAGUGCCCGUACCCCAAACCGACACAGGUGGACAAGUAGAGAAUACUAAGGCGAGCGAGAGAACUCUGGUUAAGGAACUCGGCAAAAUAGUUCCGUAACUUCGGGAGAAGGAACGCCCAAGUAAAGUGAUUAAUUAACUUUAUAAGCUUGAACGGGCCGCAGUGAUCAGACUCAAGCGACUGUUUAUCAAAAACACAGGAGGGUGCAAAGUUCUAAUACAACGUAUACCCUCUGACACCUGCCCGGUGCUGGAAGGUUAAGUGGAGAGGUUAGCUUCGGCGAAGCUUUGAAAUUAAGCCCCAGUAAACGGCGGCCGUAACUAUAACGGUCCUAAGGUAGCGAAAUUCCUUGUCGGGUAAGUUCCGACCUGCACGAAUGGUGUAACGAUUUGAGUACUGUCUCAACCAGAGACUCGGCGAAAUUGCAAUGUGAGUAAAGAUGCUCACUAUGCGCGACAGGACGGAAAGACCCCGGAACCUUUACUGCAACUUGAUAUUGAAUGUUGGUGUGCAGUAUGCAGGAUAAGUGGGAGACUUUGAAACAAUUACGCUAGUGGUUGUGGAGUCAUCCUUGAGAUACCACUUUCUUCAUAUUGACCUUCUAACCUAGAUCCGUUAUCCGGAUCAGGGACAUUGUCUGGUAGGCAGUUUCACUGGGGCGGUGGCCUCCUAAAAAGUAACGGAGGCGCUCAAAGGUCACCUCAGCGUGGACGGCAAUCACGCAUUGAGUGUAAGUGCAAAAGGUGGCUUGACUGUGACACAAACAAGUGAAGCAGGUACGAAAGUAGGAACUAGUGAUCCCAUGGUUGCAUGUGGGUGCGCCAUGGCUCAUCGGCUAAAAGGUACUCCGGGGAUAACAGGCUUAUACCCCCCAAGAGUCCAUAUCGACGGGGGUGUUUGGCACCUCGAUGUCGGCUCUUCUCAUCCUGGGGCUGGAGCAGGUCCCAAGGGUUAGGCUGUUCGCCUAUUAAAGAGGAACGCGAGCUGGGUUCAGAACGUCGUGAGACAGUUCGGUCCCUAUCCGUCGCGCACGUAAGAAAUUUGAAGAAAGUUGUCCCUAGUACGAGAGGACCGGGAUGAACGAUCCGCUGGUGUGCCAGUUGUUCUGCCAAGAGCACGGCUGGUUAGCUACGAUCGGACAGGAUAAGCACUGAAA